rnacentral:tRNA from 1 species
GGUCCCGUGGUGGUAAUAAGCAUAUCAGAUUGCAAAUCUGAAGGCGUGGGUAAAACUCCCUCCGGGGCCU